CCGGCGCACGGGUGAGUAACGCGUAUGCAACCUGCCUGAUACCGGGGUAUAGCCCAUGGAAACGUGGAUUAACACCCCAUAGUACUUUUAUCCUGCAUGGGAUGUGAGUUAAAUGUUCAAGGUAUCGGAUGGGCAUGCGUCCUAUUAGUUAGUUGGCGGGGUAACAGCCCACCAAGACGAUGAUAGGUAGGGGCUCUGAGAGGAAGGUCCCCCACAUUGGAACUGAGACACGGUCCAA
rnacentral:rRNA from 1 species